UGGCGCCUGCCAUAAUAAUAUGCUGCUGCCUUUAUGCGAGUCCAGAUUACACGAUCGGGCCGGGGUCCACGACGCAGUUACCGGCCGGGAGCACUGGAAUGAAAGGGAAGGCACCGCGUCGUGCCGUUACAUCUAUCGCCGUGCCAUCCUCCUCGGCAUGGGCGGGUUCGCUGCACCCGUUCCAUUUGCAGGUAUGGGCUGCUGGAACUGCAAGACAUGAACCUGGACAGGACAGGACAGGGUCACUGCGUCUCUCAAGAAACUGAAGAAGCCAUCACUGAUCUCAUCUCCUCCAUGGUUCAGGAUUUGGAUUUCUUUACGAGUUGGGUGAGUGAGAGGACCUUGCGGCUUUUGCCAAAAGAGCCAAGGCAAGAGGCUCUGCUUAAUUUUGCUACUCGAAGAAUUGGAGAGUGGAGGCCAAUCGAACUGCCUGUUACCUGCAUUGCUGAAUGUUCACAAGUAGCAUUUGUAUCAUGAAAACAUUUUAUCAACAAGUAAAAUGCUUUUGACUUUUUUCCUUU